rnacentral:rRNA from 1 species
CCUACGGGAGGCAGCAGUGGGGAAUAUUGCACAAUGGGCGCAAGCCUGAUGCAGCAACGCCGCGUGAGGGACGACGGCCUUCGGGUUGUAAACCUCUUUUAGUAGGGAAGAAGCGAAAGUGACGGUACCUGCAGAAAAAGCACCGGCUAACUACGUGCCAGCAGCCGCGGUAAUACGUAGGGUGCAAGCGUUAUCCGGAAUUAUUGGGCGUAAAGAGCUCGUAGGCGGUUUGUCGCGUCUGCUGUGAAAACUGGAGGCUCAACCUCCAGCCUGCAGUGGGUACGGGCAAACUAGAGUGCGGUAGGGGAGAUUGGAAUUCCUGGUGUAGCGGUGGAAUGCGCAGAUAUCAGGAGGAACACCGAUGGCGAAGGCAGAUCUCUGGGCCGUAACUGACGCUGAGGAGCGAAAGCAUGGGGAGCGAACAGGAUUAGAUACCCUGGUAGUCCAUGCCGUAAACGUUGGGCGCUAGAUGUGGGGACCAUUCCACGGUUUCCGUGUCGCAGCUACGCAUAGCGCCCGCCGUCGGGAGGUACGGCCGCGACGGACGUAAACUACGAACGAAGUAGUACGACGUCGAGAGACGCGACGACGACGACGACGGAGGAGGAG